rnacentral:rRNA from 1 species
UAGCGUAGGGGGCAAGCGUUUGUCCGGAUUCAUUGGGCGUAAAGAGCGUGUAGGCGGCUUGGUAGGUCCGCCGUGAAAACUCGAGGCUCAACCUCGAGAUGUCGGCGGAAACCACUUGGCUAGAGUCCGGAAGAGGAGAGUGGAAUUCCUGGUGUAGCGGUGAAAUGCGCAGAUAUCAGGAAGAACACCAGUGGCGAAGGCGGCUCACUGGUCCGGUUCUGACGCUGAGGCGCGAAAGCGUGGGGAGCAAACAGG